rnacentral:lncRNA from 1 species
AGGGGGUUCUUUUAACUUCUCCUUCUCAUUUGCGAAUGGAAGGAUAAACUGCCUAGUUAAGGUAGACUUGAAAUCCUUCUAUUUUUUGGCGGCAGACGAUAGCACCAUCUUCUUGCCCCCUUCCCUAACAACAUAAGCUAUUUGAACAGCUUCCCAAAUCUGCUCCUUUAGGUCCUGGGCAAUUGAGUCCAUUUCUUGUCCACAAGAGGGACUUUGGUGCGUGCCAGAACACCAAUGUAACUCUGCUUCUCUAAAGCAGCCUUGCCAUGUGGUCUGCAGCUUUUAUUGUACUCAACCACAGGCUUAAUCUUCU